AACGAACGCUGGCGGCAUGCCUAACACAUGCAAGUCGAACGAAGCCUUCGGGCUUAGUGGCGCACGGGUGCGUAACACGUGGGAAUCUGCCCUUCGGUUCGGAAUAACAGUUAGAAAUGACUGCUAAUACCGGAUGAUGACGUAAGUCCAAAGAUUUAUCGCCGAAGGAUGAGCCCGCGUAGGAUUAGGUAGUUGGUAGGGUAAUGGCCUACCAAGCCGACGAUCCUUAGCUGGUCUGAGAGGAUGAUCAGCCACACUGGGACUGAGACACGGCCCAGACUCCUACGGGAGGCAGCAGUGGGGAAUAUUGGACAAUGGGCGAAAGCCUGAUCCAGCAAUGCCGCGUGAGUGAUGAAGGCCUUAGGGUUGUAAAGCUCUUUUACCUAGGGAUGAUAAUGACAGUACCUGGAGAAUAAGACUCCGGCUAACUCCGUGCCAGCAGCCGCGGUAAUGUACAGUGU
rnacentral:rRNA from 1 species